rnacentral:rRNA from 1 species
AGAGCGAACGCUGGCGGCAGGCUUAACACAUGCAAGUCGAGCGGGCGUAGCAAUACGUCAGCGGCAGACGGGUGAGUAACGCGUGGGAACAUACCUUUUGGUUCGGAACAACCCAGGGAAACUUGGGCUAAUACCGGAUAAGCCCUUACGGGGAAAGAUUUAUCGCCGAAAGAUUGGCCCGCGUCUGAUUAGCUAGUUGGUGAGGUAACGGCUCACCAAGGCGACGAUCAGUAGCUGGUCUGAGAGGAUGAUCAGCCACAUUGGGACUGAGACACGGCCCAAACUCCUACGGGAGGCAGCAGUGGGGAAUAUUGGACAAUGGGCGCAAGCCUGAUCCAGCCAUGCCGCGUGAGUGAUGAAGGCCCUAGGGUUGUAAAGCUCUUUUGUGCGGGAAGAUAAUGACGGUACCGCAAGAAUAAGCCCGGCUAACUUCGCGCCAGCAGCCGC